AAGCGCUCGCCAGCUUCGCUCUACCUAGUAUUCACUCAAAUUUACUUAAGCACACAAGCAUCGCAUAGAAUUUAUUUUAUUUAUACUUUCGUGGUGGUUGCUUGGUGGCCUUUCGCAUGGCAAUACUGUGGAGCUACCACCUUUUCGUGACACGACGUUUGAGUACCUUUCGGAUCACGUGCAUGAAAAUGUUGUGUGUGCGAGCGUAAAAAAUAAUUGAAACUGGAAUAUAUAAUUGCGCAAAGGUCCUUGAGGGUACAACAAUAGAAGUGCUACAAACGUUAUUGUAAUUGUAAUAGCAUUGGAAACUUCCUGCUUAGCGGCCGGAGGUGAUUAUAUCGAUUUGUGGGCGCUAUGCUUAGUGGGUGGAGUUGGGUUUGCGUGAGCAUCUACUAAAGUUUGAAGAGAAAAUAAAUUUUCUUCGCCAACUUUUACAUUAGCGUCAAAACAAAUAUACAACGAACGAAUCAGACGUUUGCCGCAUAACGGAAAGCUUCCAACUUUGUUGAAUAAAAACUACCGACAAGCCAAACAAACAAACUCCUGCAAAAACUUUUAUUGCGUGCAGUGAAAUACUAACAAUGCGAACAUAUAAUUGCACAUGAAUAAUACAUACAAAUACACCAACAAACAUAUAAUUCUUGUAAAGAUGUGCACAUAGACACAAAAUUGAGUUGAAGCUAUAACAUAGCAAUGAAAUAAAAUUUUGCGCCGUAGAGUUAAGAACAGUGCAUUUUCGUUUUCUUCACAAACGUAAUUUUACGCUUCCUUCCUGCGAUAUGAAGCAGAAUAAUAAAUGUCGGCGUAGCAAUCGCAGUUGUCUUGUAGGCGUUGCGUGCAUAUACUCGUAAGAAAGAGGCAUACCCCAAGGCGUGUGUUGUGUCUGCUGCAAAAAUUCCCACAGCGAGGCAUUGCCGCACCUUCACUUAGCAAAAAUACGACAAGACAAAAACUUUUGCGCCAAGGUGUGUGCGAGCGUUUUGAUAUAUGAGCAUAGUAAAUAUAAUGUACGAAAGUGUGUAGAAAAUGUU